GAUGAUUGCUAGCCGUUGGGCAGCUUGCUGUUCAGUGGCGCAGCUAACGCAUUAAGCAAUCCGCCUGGGGAGUACGGCCGCAAGGUUGAAACUCAAAGGAAUUGACGGGGGCCCGCACAAGCGGUGGAGCAUGUGGUUUAAUUCGACGCAACGCGCAGAACCUUACCAGGGUUUGACAUCCUGCGACCGCCCCGUAACGGGGGUUUUCCCGCAAGGGACGCAGAGACAGGUGCUGCAUGGCUGUCGUCAG
rnacentral:rRNA from 1 species